AUGAGGGAAGAGCAAACAGAGAAGUGUAUUCCUGGCACUUCACCGAACUUUCUAUGCACGAACUUCUGCUGCUGCUCCGUCACUGGGAACGCUCCUCGUGACAUAAGCGAGCUUCCAGGCUCGCUCCGAGCGCUUCGUUUUUUAACCUGUUCCCAGCCCGGGGAGCGGGAGCUUCCUGCAGCGCAGGGAGCCUCUUUAACAGCCCCUCCGGCCGGGCCGGACCGGAUCAGCGCCUCCUCCGGCCGGGGCUCCCGCCUCUCCCGGGGCCUCCCUGGCUCUGCCGCUCCAAGAGGGCACGAAGCACAUCCACUGUCUACUGCAAUCCCGCAAAUCAGCAGAUCCGCCUGCUCUGACGCGCCAGCCCUUUCAUUCCAGCACGGGCGCUGCGUUUCUGAAACGCUAGCGUGGGAGAGAAAGGUGGAGAGACGACGUCCCUGGAAACCGCCUCGCGGGCCAGAAGGAGCCGGGGAGGCCGGAGGCCGCGAGCCGGCCGAACCGGGGGCUGCACCGACGCGAGCCGGGCCCAGCUGCCGGUCCUCCCUCCCUCCCCAGCCGCCCCGUCCCAGGGCUCAUAAACCGUGGGGGGAGCAGGCAGCCUAUUAGAGACUCUAUUAAGUCUCCAUUAGUUAGGUGUGAACUCAUUACCCUAAUAUACUCGGAGGUAGAUUCCACUUGUAGGACAUUAGCACUUUAAUAAGCGCUUUUACCACUUAGUCCUGGACUGGGAGAGGGCAGAGAAACACCUCCGUGUUUCCUGGCAGCUGUGCAGUCUGUGGGAACGGUGUCCCCCGUGGGAGUAGCAUCCCCUGCAGGAACAGCAUCCCCCGCGGGAACGACAUCCCCGUGGGAACGGCAUCCCGUGGGAGCCGCGUCCCCCAUGGGAACGGUGUCGUCCCCGGGGCCAUCGUCCCCACGAGCAGUCCGGCUCCCGGCAUCCUCCGCGGGAUGGUGCCCGGCUGGGACGGCGAGCAGGGAUCACCGAGGAAAUGCAGCUCCUCAAAGCCACGGGCCCUACGGGCAGCCGUUCGCACGGCGGAAAAAAACGGAUGUGGCCAAAGCCACGGAGAGUCGGGAAUGGAGAGCGGCAGCCGGCGAGCCACGGGGAUCAGAGCACCGACGACGUACAGCGAACGUCGCCGGGAACUCGGGGCGUUUAACUGAAAGGAUAGCCACGGCACGAGUGUGUCACGGCCUGUUCGCUGAGCUGUUUGCUUCUUAGAUUGCUUUUUUGCCUUUGUCUGACUUGGCAUUUUCGGCUUGUUUGCUCUUUGUGACAGGAACUGUCUUCCGCUGCCUGCAAAGCUUUGCACAUUUGGAGGAAGUUAUGGCAAUCUAAAUAAUGAGCUUAUAUGAAAUCAAUUAAUUAAUAAUAGAUAGGAUGCAGGAGCAGGGACAGGACUGAUUUUGUCUUGUUAGAAUAAUAAAAAUAUGAUGAUACGCA
rnacentral:lncRNA from 1 species